CAGCCGCCACGGUAAUACAGAGGGUGCGAGCGUUAAUCGGAUUUACUGGGCGUAAAGCGUGCGUAGGCGGCUUCUUAAGUCGGAUGUGAAAUCCCUGAGCUUAACUUAGGAAUUGCAUUCGAUACUGGGAAGCUAGAGUAUGGGAGAGGAUGGUAGAAUUCCAGGUGUAGCGGUGAAAUGCGUAGAGAUCUGGAGGAAUACCGAUGGCGAAGGCAGCCAUCUGGCCUAAUACUGACGCUGAGGUACGAAAGCAUGGGGAGCAAACAGGAUUAGAGACCCGUGUAGUCCCUGUCUCUUAUAC
rnacentral:rRNA from 1 species